rnacentral:rRNA from 1 species
CACGGGGGGAGCAAGCGUUGUUCGGAAUCACUGGGCGUAAAGGGUGCGUAGGCGGCCCUGUAAGUCAGUGCUGAAAUAUCCCGGCUUAACCGGGAGGGUGGCAUUGAUACUGCAGGGCUUGAGUGAAGUCGAGGUAGGCGGAAUUGACGGUGUAGCGGUGAAAUGCUUAGAUAUCGUCAAGAACACCGAUAGUGAAGACAGCUUACUAGGCUUAUACUGACGCUGAGGCACGAAAGUGUGGGGAUCAAACAGG